GGAGCUGCAGCUCACUUGUUAAAGCACUUGCCUAGCACGCAUGAGGCCCUGGGUUCAAUCCCCAGCAUUGCCA
rnacentral:tRNA from 1 species